UACAGAGGUGCCAAGCGUUAGGCGGAAUCACUGGGCUUAAAGCGUGUGUAGGCGGAUUUGUAAGUACCUUGUGAAAUCCCAUGGCUCAACCAUGGAACUGCUCGGUAUACUGCGAAUCUUGAGCCACUUAGGGGCUACCGGAACAAAUGGUGGAGCGGUGAAAUGCGUAGAUAUCAUUUGGAACGCCAAUGGUGAAAACAGGUAGCUGGGAGUGUGCUGACGCUGAGACACGAAAGCCAGGGGAGCGAACGGG
rnacentral:rRNA from 1 species